AUUGAACGCUGGCGGCAGGCUUAACACAUGCAAGUCGAGCGAGCGGCGGACGGGUGAGUAAUGUCUGGGAAACUGCCUGAUGUAGGGGGAUAACUACUGGAAACGGUAGCUAAUACCGCAUACCAUCAGAUGUGCCCAGAUGGGAUUAGCUAGUUGGUGGGGUAAUGGCUCAUCUAGGCGACGAUCCUUAGCUGGUGUGAGAGGAUGACCAGCCACACUGUGACUGAGACACGGUCCAGACUCCUACGGUAGGCAGCAGUGGGGAAGAUUGCACAAUGGGCGAAAGCCUGAUGCAGCCAUGCCGCGUGGGUGAAGAAGGCGUUCGGGUUGUAAAGCACUUUCAGCGAGGAGGCGUUACUCGCAGAAGAAGCACCGGCUAACUCCGUGCCAGCAGCCGCGGUAAUUC
rnacentral:rRNA from 1 species